rnacentral:rRNA from 1 species
CGUACACUCCUGCGGGAGGCAGCAGUGGGGAAUAUUGGACAAUGGGGGCAACCCUGAUCCAGCCAUGCCGCGUGAGUGAUGAAGGCCCUAGGGUUGUAAAGCUCUUUUGUGCGGGAAGAUAAUGACGGUACCGCAAGAAUAAGCCCCGGCUAACUUCGUGCCAGCAGCCGCGGUAAUACGAAGGGGGCUAGCGUCGCUCGGAAUCACUGGGCGUAAAGGGUGCGUAGGCGGGUCUUUAAGUCAGGGGUGAAAUCCUGGAGCUCAACUCCAGAACUGCCUUUGAUACUGAGGAUCUUGAGUCCGGAAGAGGUGAGUGGAACUGCGAGUGUAGAGGUGAAAUUCGUAGAUAUUCGCAAGAACACCAGUGGCGAAGGCGGCUCACUGGUCCGGUACUGACGCUGAGGCACGAAAGCGUGGGGAGCAAACAGGAUUAGAUACCCUAGUAGCCCCAU